rnacentral:lncRNA from 1 species
GAGGAAGUCUGGGAACAAAGAGGAAUAAGCCUGGGAAACAUGGGGCAUAGAGCGCGAGAAGCAGAAAGAAGGUGCAAUCGCAGGAAACUCAACGGUGCAGCAAAGGUGGGCCAGACCCCAUUUGGGCCACAUUCUAAAUGGUUAACUGAGAUUUCCUGGGAUGGGCCAGUGUAUCCAGUGCCCUGUAGAGCAGCCUGUUUCGGGCUUGGUAGUGGAAGGAAGCAUCGAGGCUCCCACGUCAUGCCUACAUUCAGGAUCUAUGUUCAGCUCUGCCUCCAGCAGCAGGUUACUCUUUUCAUGAAGAGGAGGAGGACAAAGCGUAUACUUCAGCCCAGCCACAACGUCAGCACAAAGCUCAAGGCCAGCUGUGGGCUCUUGGAAUAAUUGAGUGAGGCAGAGAAAUGCAGGGUCAUGAUGACAGAGAGAGAAUCUUAGCUGGGGUCUAGAAGUGAUCAAGAGACAUAUUCAGAGUGUACUGUAGAA